rnacentral:rRNA from 1 species
GAUGAACGCUAGCUACAGGCUUAACACAUGCAAGUCGAGGGACCGGCGCACGGGUGAGUAACACGUAUCCAACCUGCCCUUUACUCGGGGAUAGCCUUUCGAAAGAAAGAUUAAUACCCGAUAUAAAGGAUGGGGAUGCGUUACAUUAGGUUGUUGGUGAGGUAACGGCUCACCAAGCCUUCGAUGGCGAGGGUGUCUGAGAGGAAGGCUCCACACAUUGGAACUGAGAAACGGUCCAACAUCCUACGGGAGGCAGCAGUGAGUAAUAUGUGGCAAUGGGCGCUAGCCCGAACCUGCCAAGUAGCGUGAAGGAUGAAGGCUUAUGGGUGGUAAACUGCUUUUAUAUAAGAAUAGGUAUUAUAUGAAUAAGGAUCGGCUAACUCCGUGCCAGCAGCCGCGGUAAUAC